UACGAAGGGGGCUAGCGUUGCUCGGAAUCACUGGGCGUAAAGGGUGCGUAGGCGGGUCUUUAAGUCAGGGGUGAAAUCCUGGAGCUCAACCUGGGAAUGGCAUUUGGGACUGCAAGGCUUGAGUGCGGCAGAGGAGACUGGAAUUCCUGGUGUAGCAGUGAAAUGCGUAGAUAUCAGGAGGAAUACCGAUGGCGAAGGCAGGUCUCUGGGCUGACACUGACGCUCAUGCACGAAAGCGUGGGGAGCAAACAGG
rnacentral:rRNA from 1 species